rnacentral:rRNA from 1 species
GGGGCAACCCUGGCGGCGAGCGGCGAACGGGUGAGUAAUACAUCGGAACGUACCCAGGAGUGGGGGAUAACACAUCGAAAGAUGUGCUAAUACCGCAUACGCCCUGAGGGGGAAAGCGGGGGAUCGCAAGACCUCGCGCUGUUGGAGCGGCCGAUGUCGGAUUAGCUAGUUGGUAGGGUAAAGGCCUACCAAGGCGACGAUCCGUAGCUGGUCUGAGAGGAUGAUCAGCCACACUGGGACUGAGACACGGCCCAGACUCCUACGGGAGGCAGCAGUGGGGAAUUUUGGACAAUGGGGGCAACCCUGAUCCAGCCAUUCCGCGUGAGUGAAGAAGGCCUUCGGGUUGUAAAGCUCUUUCGGCAGUAACGAAACGGCGGGCUCUAACAUGGCCUGUCAAUGACGGUACCGGAAUAAGAAGCACCGGCUAACUACGUGCCAGCAGCCGCGGUAAUACGUAGGGUGCGAGCGUUAAUCGGAAUUACUGGGCGUAAAGCGUGCGCAGGCGGUUGUGUAAGACAGGCGUGAAAUCCCCGGGCUCAACCUGGGAACUGCGUUUGUGACUGCACAGCUAGAGUAUGGCAGAGGGGGGGUGGAAUUCCACGUGUAGCAGUGAAAUGCGUAGAGAUGUGGAGGAACACCGAUGGCGAAGGCAGCCCCCUGGGCCAAUACUGACGCUCAUGCACGAAAGCGUGGGUAGCAAACAGGAUUAGAUACCCUGGUAGUCCACGCCCUAAACGAUGUCAACUAGGUGUUGGGGAAGGGUAAAACCUUUUUAGUACCGGAGCUAACGCCGUGAAGUUGACCGCCUGGGGGAGUACGGCCGCAAGGUUAAAACUCAAAGGGAAUUGACCGGGGACCCGCACAAGCGGUGGAUGAAAUGUGGGAUUAAUUUCGAUGC